rnacentral:lncRNA from 1 species
AAACUGUCAAUUGAAUACGGUAGGUUUUUGGUGACCUCAAAUGCCCAAUAUUUUGGCAUCUUAAAAAAAAUUCGUCUAUACAGGACUGUCAACAAAAUCAUUGUCCUGCUCAGUUUAUGAGGGGGAUGACGCGCUGGCAUUCAUUUGCCAACCACCCCCACCCUUUUUCCCCCCAAUUCCAACUACUUUUCCUUCUUUUUUAGAGAUCAAACUUUUAACCGUCAUUAUAUCUCAUCCCUUAAGCAUGUCAUCCCCUUCAUUUAAUGUCACAACAUCCAAUUAAGCUUAACUUUUUCUUUCUAUGAAAUCUAAUGUACACCUAUUCUAUCUUUCAAUAAUUACAAUGCUGACGUCAGGUCAUCUAAGAUAAAAAUUUCUUAUCCUACAUCCACCAUUAGAUAUACUUAAUGUACAUACCAAUAUAAUAUCCUACAUCUGUACAAUAAAACAAAUACAGGCUUUGCACCGCAGAAUGAAUAUAUGUAACCAUAAUUUCUAUACAGAAAUGUAUAAAAUUUAUAUACCUUGCCAUAUCAAUUCCGAUUUUAAUGCCAAACUUGUAUUUUUUGACAAAAUACUAAUCAGUGGUUGAUUAAAAAAAAUUCAACAGAGUUGAGUCUCAUUUGGGUAAUGGAAUGUUUUGGCCGUAAAAAGUUAACAAAAAAUAUUCAAAAUAAUUGGCAAUUAAUCAAAACCUUUGCAAUCA